rnacentral:rRNA from 1 species
UGCGCAGGCGGAAUGAUAAGUCAGUGGUGAAAGCCUACAGCUUAACUGUAGAAAUGCCAUUGAUACUGUCGUUCUUGAGUACAGUUGAAGUGGGCGGAAUGCGUCAUGUAGCGGUGAAAUGCAUAGAUAUGACACAGAACACCGAUAGCGAAGGCAGCUCACUAAGCUGAAACUGACGCUCAUGCACGAAAGCGUGGGGAGCAAACAGGAUUAGAUACCCUGGUAGUCC